UCCACGCCGUAAACGAUGAAUGCUAGGUGUUGGGGGCGUUUAGGCCUUCAGUGCCGAAGUUAACGCAUUAAGCACUCCGCCUGGGAAGUACGGCCGCAAGGCUAAAACUCAAAGGAAUUGACGGGGGCCCGCACAAGCGGUGGAGCAUGUGGUUUAAUUCGAUGCAACGCGAAGAACCUUACCUGGGCUUGACAUGCCGGGAAUCCUUUGGAAACAUUGGAGUGCCCUCAGUU
rnacentral:rRNA from 1 species